CUUUCUUUCUUUCUUUGAAGCACAAACCCUACCAACAGCUAGCAAUGAUGUUGUCUUCAUCUCUUUCUCUCACCACCACCGACACCAACACCGCUACCACUACCACUACCACGCCUUCUUCUUCUCCAUUGCCAUCAUUGUUCCCACGAACCCCGAAGUCUCGUCCUCAUCAUUAUCAUCACUUGAGCAACAAAAAGGAGCAAAAAAGAUCAGAAACAUUAUUCAAUUCAACCAACAUGUACACACGCAUAUAUAUGUACCAGACUCAACCCCUUUUACAUGUCUGUACGUAUGAGCUUUGUUAUUGGUUUUGAGUGAAGGGUUUACUAGCUAGCUCAGAAAGACUUUCAAAAGUCACUUUUUCAUUUGGGGAAUCAAGCAUCUUGGUCCGAUGAAGGUUUAAUUUGCUAGAUCAAGCAAAUCUUAGUUUUUGCUUGUUCAAGUAUUUUAGAUCUACCAGCAGCUUGUUGCGACUUAAUUAGUCUAAGGUUUACUCUUCUUGUUUUAAUUACUUUUAGGCUUUAGCUAAGAAGGAAUCUUGUUAUAAUAAGAUUUAAUGUUCUGUAACUUUUGUUUCUUUAUGAAGAGAACUUAUGAAUGUUCGAUAAUUUUCUAUCGACAACUUUGUGUUGUUUAAUUUUGCACUUUCAUUUUGAGUGGUUUGUGUGUGGAGAAAUUAAUGGAUCAAAUUAGAUUUUCUUCAGAAACAUAUACAAAUAUACUUGAAGUUGCUUUGUAUACUUUCAAUCACAUAUUUCAGUGCUUAUUUUCACUGAAUAUUUUCGGAAAAUACAUAGCUCUUCCCCAUCAAAUGCAACUAUAUAUAUAUAUAUUAUCACUCAGUUUUAUUUUUUCUUUAUUAGUUUGUCAUUAAAUGGGUACUCUCGCAAGCUAUUGCCUUCUCGAAAGCCAUGGAUAUAUAUUUGUUGGACGAUCAAGAGGUUUGUGAUUUCCUUGCUUGGGUUUCUCUUUCUCGUAUAAUUAAUUUCUUCAAUUUUUUUUUUCUCUCUAUUCUCGAGCAUUUUAGCCUACGGAGUAUAGAGUUUAUCAUAUAAAGAUUGACCCAAUGUUUUGUUUGCUAAGUUAAUUAAUUGUGAGGAAUUUUUCACCUUUACAAAUUAAUGACCCCUUGUUGCAUGAAAUUUAUAGAGUUCAGUUUCUAUAUCAAUUGAUCGAGAAGCACAUAAGCUUUCUUGAAUUGAUGUUUCUAUCGACUGCUGCUGCCGAUUACAAAUUGAUGAUGGCUUUCACAGGAUUGAUUAUCUCUCAAGGACAGCCUGCUGCUGCAUGUAAGCAUGAACAAUGUAUUCCACGAACGGCCAGUCUAAGCCAUAAUAUAUAAGUGGCUUCAUUUUGUAACCUUCUUGUACACUCUUUUCCAAAUUAAAGAGAGUUCCAACUUCAACGUUUGCCUAAUUAAAUUUCUAUAGCUUCUUACGGAACCAAU
rnacentral:lncRNA from 1 species